AGGGAAUAUGCGAUGUUGUUAAGUCAGUAUAAGAGGAGGAAAGUGAUUAAUGGUUUGAGGAAGAUAAGGGAAUUUGGUUGAAUUCCGCGAGUUUAUCUUGCAUCAUUUUAAAGAACAUGUUUCUAGAAGACAGCUGUAUGGGCUGUUAAAUGCAUAAUGUUCUCAACUGUCUUAUUUAACCUGCCAGGUCUGUUCAUAGUUUAAUAUUUCAUUUUGCAGAACAGAAUGUUGCUUCUCUG